rnacentral:rRNA from 1 species
UACGGAGGGUGCAAGCGUGGUUCGGAAUCACUGGGCGUAAAGCGCGUUUAGGCGGCUUGGUAAGUCGGGUGUGAAAGCCCGGGGCUCAACCCCGGAACUGCAUUCGAAACUGCCUCGCUCGAGUCCCGGAGAGGGUGGUGGAAUUCCCGGUGUAGAGGGGAAAUUCGUAGAUAUCGGGAGGAACACCAGUGGCGAAGGCGGACCCCUGGACGGUGACUGACGCUGAGACGCGAAAGCGUGGGGAGCAAACAGG